AUGGGGUUCUGGAUUGUGUUAUGGUCUUGGCUAGAAGGGUUUCUUCUCUUUGCAAAUGCAUUGGCAAUUUUGAACGAGGACCGAUUCCUUGCUCGAAGAGGAUGGACAUUGGCAGAAAUGACCGGACCUCAAAGGAAUACUCUUAAAGGACAAGUCAUAGGACUCAUUCACGUUUGUCAAUAUAUGAGACUUCCUCUUAUUUUCUUCAAUAUUCUCGUCAUCACAAAGAAACUGAUCGCUGGAUAA